rnacentral:rRNA from 1 species
UUUGAUCAUGGCUCAGGACGAACGCUGGCGGCGUGCCUAACACAUGCAAGUCGAACGGGGCCAGGGGCAACUCUGGUUCAGUGGCGGACGGGUGCGUAACACGUGAGGAACAUGACCUUCGGCGGGGGAUAGCCGGCCCAACGGCCGGGUAAUACCGCGUACGACCUUUCGGGGACAUCCCCGGCUGGUGAAAGCAGCAAUGCGCCGAAGGAGUGCCUCGCGGCCUAUCAGCUAGUUGGUGAGGUAACGGCUCACCAAGGCGACGACGGGUAGCUGGUCUGAGAGGAUGGCCAGCCACAUUGGGACUGAGACACGGCCCAGACUCCUACGGGAGGCAGCAGUGGGGAAUAUUGCGCAAUGGGCGAAAGCCUGACGCAGCGACGCCGCGUGUGGGAUGACGGCCUUCGGGUUGUAAACCACUGUCGGGAGGGACGAAUGCGCCGCAAGGCGAGUGACGGUACCUCCAAAGGAAGCACCGGCUAACUCCGUGCCAGCAGCCGCGGUAAUACGGAGGGUGCAAGCGUUGUCCGGAAUCACUGGGCGUAAAGGGCGCGUAGGCGGCCUGGUAAGUAGGGGGUGAAAUCUUGCGGCUUAACCGCAAGGCUGCCUUCUAAACUGUCAGGCUAGAGCACAGUAGAGGCAGGUGGAAUUCCCGGUGUAGCGGUGGAAUGCGUAGAGAUCGGGAAGAACAUCAGUGGCGAAGGCGGCCUGCUGGGCUGUUGCUGACG